GUCUAUGGCCAUACCACCCUGAAAGAGCCCAAUCUCACCUGAUCGCAGAAGUGAAGCAGGGUCGGGCCUGGUUAGUACUUGGAUGGGAGAAAGAUCCCCUAGGUAUGAUCC
rfam:Macaca mulatta chromosome 4, whole genome shotgun sequence.